GACACCAUAGCCAAGUGGUUACGGCGACAGAUUCGAAUUGUCCCUUAUCUGUUUCACUUUGUGAGCGUAGGUUCGAGUCCUACUGGUGUCG